CAGGGGAUUGCAGUGGCAAAGCUAGGCUAGGUCUUGGAGGCUGGUGUAAGGCGAUGUGGGUGAAGGCAGGAGGCUGAUGGAAAGACUGGGGGGAAGAAAAGCCGAAAUGGAUUCACGGUGCCUUGGAUGAAGGACGAGAGGGGAACUGCAAGCUCCUUCAACUGGUUCUGUCCGGUGAGAAGUGAUCAAGCUUGGGCUGACAAGAGGCUCAGGGAGCCCUCACGUUCUUUCGCUUUUUUACCUGCCAAUCAAACUGCUACAAGACAACACCCUGAUCUGGCAUGGACAUCGCGGGUCCAAGCCUGUAGCCCCAAAUCGGAUAAUCUCUGCAGCUGAUAACAAGCAAAAGAGAAGCCAGGCAACAGCCAUAUUAAAGAAGAAAACAAUCAACUCUGAGGCGGAGUCUCGCUCUGUUGCCUAGGCUGGAGUGCAGUGGCACAAUCUUGGCUCACCACAACCUCCACCUCCCAAGUUCAAGGGAUUCUCCUGCCUCAGGCUCCUGAGUAGCUGAGAUGACAAGCUCCCACCACCAUGCUCAGCUAAUUUAUCCAACUUAGAAAUAAUGUUUCAUUCAAGAUAAGGCUCGUGGCUUAGGAGAUUGUGACCUGGCUUGCAUCAUUCUAAGACUUCUAUCGUCUGUUUUCAAAACCCAAGGAGGACCUCCUUUUCUGUGUGAUAGUUCCUCAUGCUUUGCCAGCCACUGGGUCUUUAAGGAAGCUUGCCAAGAGUUCCCGGCUGGGAAGGACAGUUCGAGUUCAUCAUAGACAAUGAGCUGGCACCACAGUUUAAGUGACUCACCAA
rnacentral:lncRNA from 10 species